AAAAACCUGGAGGGAGCGACAACUCCUGUUUUAUUUGAACCUACAUUUACUUUAAACGGGAUGCCGUUGUUACAAAAUCAAAUGUCAUGCCACCGCCGAAAGGGCACGGAUGACCGCGCAGGAGUGGAAGACAGCCGAUCCGUAUAGGCGACCCACCUAGCAAAAGCUAGGAGUCAACUGGCAGGAAACGCCCGUCUGGGUUAAAA
rnacentral:other from 1 species